ensembl:lncRNA
AAAUUGGUGCGUAAUCUUCAGCUGCGGGCAUUUUCUCCUGGGAUUCAGGACAGAAAGCACACUUCCACGAACGAUGUAUCAUCGAAGAGAUGUGUGAAAAACACCUUGAGGAUUGGUUCUAAACAACGUUUGCCAUGUUUCAGUCGAUAUUAUGGAGUUCAUUUGGAUAAAAGUUAGGCGUUUUUAUGACUGGAUUUUCGUUUUUUUUUGGUAGCCAAACGUGACGCACCAAACGGAGCGAUUUCUCCUAAACAAAUAACCUUUCAGGAAAAACUGAACAUUUGCUAUCUAACAGAGUCUCCUCAUUGAAAACAUCUGAAGUUCUUCAAAGAUUGGAAUGUCCACAGUGCAAGGUGUUCUACAUUGGACGGACAAAGAGAAGCCUUCAAGAUCGCUUAGCGGAACACAAGUACGCCAUACGGGUAGGUAAUGAAGACUACCCCAUGGCUAAGCAAUACAAGUCCCUACACCAUGGCAGCCCUGCCUCCCUACAAGCGAUGGGUAUUGAUCAUAUUCCGGCCUCUAUUAGAAAAGGGGACCGUCUUAAACAGUUAAACCAAAGGGAAAGUUUUUGGAUUUACAAACUACUAAAUACACUGGCCACUAAAUACCCUGGUUUAAAUGAAGAUAUGGAUUUCUCACCCUUCCUGUAGGGUCGUGAUGGGUCCAUUUGCUGUCAUCUAGUGGACAUUUUGCUCUAUUGCCCUCAGCUAUUGUUAGACUGUUCAUGUUUUGCUGUGUUCUAGUGUACUAUGGAAUAUAUAGCUUUCUUAUUCUUGGCACCUCUCCCAGUCAUAUUUAAAGGUUAGAACUACCUUUUAGUGUUCUGAUACUUCUAGUUUGGAGUUGUAUUUUUAUGAUAACAUUGCUACAGUAUUUCACCUUUUAAUGUGUAUAGUAUUGCUUACAAGGUGUGUCCAAUCAAUUGUGUAACCACUCCUUCUUCCAAUUAGGGCUAAUUGUAAAGCUGUUAAAAAGAGGACCUUGUAUUCCUUUUGUUGUACUCCCUGACGAAGGCCAUGCAGACGAAAUGCGUCGGUUAAAAAAAAAAAAAAAAC